rnacentral:sRNA from 1 species
UCAACUCUUUAGCGAAAUCACUUGGUCGA